GAAAAGUUCCGAAAACGUGGAAUCUAAAUAAUAUACCGUUUCCCUGCUCUGCUGCUAUUGGCAAUACAUUUUUGUCAUGUUAUCUGCAAUAGACGAUCAUACAUAUGUGGCGGAUUAUCGAUAUAGCUAGGUAGCAAUAGCAGUGGAAGCCCGGAUUUGCAAGCCAAAUGAGGGAAAGACAGAAUUCUGAAAAGGAGCAUGUUUUUCAUUUCCACACAUGCAUGUGUAUCACUAUGGACAUCUAAUGUUUUUGUGGGAUUUUGUCCAGCAGUUUGCCUUAAAAGAAUUUUUUUAUAUUUUAGUUUCAUAUUUAUGUGGAUUCCAAUAAAAAUCAUACAAACUUCA